GACGUAGGGGGCGAGCGUUGUCCGGAUUUAUUGGGCGUAAAGCGCGCGCAGGCGGCUCGGAAAGUCGGGUGUGAAAACCCGGGGGCUCAACCCCGGACCUGCAUCCGAUACUCCCGGGCUAGAGGCAGGUAGGGGAGAGUGGAAUUCCUGGUGUAGCGGUGAAAUGCGCAGAUAUCAGGAGGAACACCGGUGGCGAAGGCGGCUCGUCUGGACCUGUCCUGACGCUUCGAGGCGAAGCGAAAGGCGUAG
rnacentral:rRNA from 1 species